rnacentral:piRNA from 1 species
UGAAAAGCCCAGCUCUAGUCCACCUUCUCCA